rnacentral:tRNA from 1 species
GCCUGGAUGGCUCAGUCGGUUGAGUGUCUGACUUCGACUCAGGUCAUGAUCUCGUGAUCUGUGAGUCCGAGCCCCACGUCCGGCA